UACGUAGGGUGCAAGCGUUGUCCGGAAUUAUUGGGCGUAAAGAGCUCGUAGGCGGUUUGUUGCGUCGGCUGUGAAAUCCCGAGGCUCAACCUCGGGGUCUGCAGUCGAUACGAGCAAACUAGAGUGUUGCAGGGGAGACUGGAAUUCCUGGUGUAGCGGUGAAAUGCGCAGAUAUCAGGAGGAACACCGGUGGCGAAGGCGGGUCUCUGGGCAACAACUGACGCUGGAGGAGCGAAAGCGUGGGGAGCGAACAGG
rnacentral:rRNA from 1 species